UGUCGCUGCUGCGUCAUAGGAGGAGACCCUGGCCUGAUACAUUGGAAUGGGAAGUCAAAUUGAACAAACUCAAUGAGUGAGCCUCCACAACUCCAAACUCAAGAAUUCCAAAAGUUCACCACACAGUAGUUUUUUUUUCCCCUAACUUUCUAAAUCCCCACAGUAGGAUCACCAGUGUAAGUGAAAUUUUUAUAGUUGGAUUUCUCCAUUAUCGCAGUUAUACAUUAUAAAGAUCGAAGUUGCACUGAUAAAAUCUGUAGCCUAUCUAAUACAAAUCCCUCCACAAUCCAGAACUUUUGUAUGAACAGCGGGAUAUCAUAUCCUGUGAUGCAUGUGACAGCAUUGCGCAACAUCUCAGACAGGCUCAGAAGAGUGGUUCAGAAGUGAAGACACUGCUGGAGAAAGGUUGCAGCUCCUGGUCUGGAACCCAACGUUCUCUGUGUGAAAACUUCGUUCAAUCUUACAAAAAAGAGCUUAGCAAAUUGCUUCAAAAGUCCCAGGAGGAAAAGGACAUUUGUUGGGAACUGGACCUCUGUGUAAGGAAACAGACUGUACGAAUGAUUGGACAGGCUGUAUGUACUUGGGGACCAGCGUACUGGUGUAAGAACCCACGUACAGCCACCAUGUGUAAUGCUUUUGAUUACUGUAAGAAACGCCGCUGGAAACAGGACUAAUUUCAUAUCACUGGUGGAAGGCAACAGAAAUUGAAUACUUAAAAAAAUGCAAAGGCUCUUCCUUUAGUACCAGUUAAAUGAUGAUUCUGCUUGUGUGUGUGCAUGUUUCCUUUAAGCAAUUUUGUGUUGCUGUAGCUUGUGCAUUCAAUGCAAUCUCUUUUAUUGUGAGAUGUUACAGAGACGAGAUUAUUGGUAAUCCUUUACUUCCAGCAAAUCAACAUUGCCAGAUGCUAUAUACGCAGAG